UUUGGGGUUUUAGGCUGGGUUUCUGUACAGCACUUUGAGAUAUCAGCUGAUGUAUGAAGGGCUAUAUACAUACAUUUGAUUGGAUUUGAUUUGACGUGUUGUGUUUGUUGACAAAAACCGAUUUGUUGAUCCAGGGAACCCCCCCCCCAUUUGUACUUCUUGUUUACACAUGGAGGAAGCUUACCAAACCAGUUAUUAGACCUCUUUGCCUUAGCUGUUGAUGUUUUUGUUUUUUUGUUGUUAGCCCUGUUGAUCACUGUAAUUGAAAAAAGCUUCUCACUUUUCGAUUGCUUUUUUACUGGUUUCAGUUUUGGAUUUCAUCACUAGGUGGAGACAUUGACCAUAGUACCCCACACCCUGACCACCAACCUGUACGGUUACCACACACUCUCUCAUUAGCACCACCAGCUGAAGAGAGCUUUGUCCCUAAUUGUCUUCCCCAUGCCCUAUGUGAACUUUCCCAUUUCCUAAGUGAUUAUGCUGAAGAAGGCCAUUAAAGGCCAAAACGUCAAUAUUUUAAACUUGACUAAUAAAACUAAGAUUUGUUUAUGGUGAGCGAGCUUUGCACCUUUUCCUGUCCAAUGAUGUUUACAGAUUUUUAGGUUGCACCUCAACUCAUGUUGGUUGAACACCCUCUACUUCUUUCCAAAUGGGAAUAGAGUGAACACAUUUUAUUGAUACCAGUUUCAAUCUGUCAGUGCCAUUGACUGGCUAACACUUGGCUAGCGCUUAGCUAGCUAGCUAACGUUAGCUAUCAUAUUUUUGCACAAUUAAUGUGAUAGCUAGCUAACUAAGGAUUUACCUAAACACUUAUACUGUAUUUUCUGUUGAAUACGUUGCUGUCUUUAUUACCAAUACGCAUUUCAAUAUGCUAGUGUCACUGUUCAAUAGUAUUUUAGCAAGCACACCAGCUAAGGUAACAACAAUAUGAGGUAUUAUUCUCAUAAAUGUAGCCCAUACAGUCAUCCUUUCUAACAAUUAGAUAUUUCGUUGUUUUAAACUAUUGGCUAGCGCAUCUUGUUCACGUGUGUUUUUCCUUCUCUCUUUCUAGAAGUAAUCAGUUACAGGGCAAAAUGACAGAUUGAGGCUUUCAAUCAAACUGAGGAAACAUGUGCACCAGGUCAAGCAAGACUUCUUGCAUGGAUGGCUUUGAGAUUUCAUGCAUUCAACAAGUUUUGGACGAAUGACUUCCAUAGACCGUCAUCUCCAAAGUUCACUCAAAAAGGUGGCAGUUUCCUGCUGGUUCCCUAGUGGCUACGAUCUCUCCUUCCCGUAACUCUGAUUGGCCGUUUGGAAGGUGUGUCUGCUCUGAGACAGUUAGAGCAUCCUUGGAAU